CAGUAGCCACGGUAAUGCGUAGGUGGCAAGCGUUGUCCGGAAUUAUUGGGCGUAAAGCGCGCGCAGGCGGUUUCUUAAGUCUGAUGUGAAAGCCCCCGGCUUAACCGGGGAGGGUCAUUGGAAACUGGGAGACUUAGAGUGCAGAAGAGGAGAGUGGAAUUCCAUGUGUAGCGGUGAAAUGCGUAGAGAUGUGGAGGAACACCAGUGGCGAAGGCGACUCUCUGGUCUGUAACUGACGCUAAGGCUCGAAAGCCAGGGGAGCGAACGGGAUUAGAUACCCCUGUAGUCCCUGUCUCUUAUU
rnacentral:rRNA from 1 species